rnacentral:rRNA from 1 species
UACGUAGGGGGCUAGCGUUGUCCGGAUUUAUUGGGCGUAAAGAGCGUGUAGGCGGCCAGAUAGGUCUGCUGUGAAAACUCGAGGCUCAACCUCGAGAUGUCGGCGGAAACCAUCUGGCUAGAGUCCGGAAGAGGAGAAUGGAAUUCCUGGUGUAGCGGUGAAAUGCGCAGAUAUCAGGAAGAACACCCGUGGCGAAGGCGGUUCUCUGGGACGGUACUGACGCUGAGACGCGAAAGCGUGGGGAGCGAACAGG